GACGAACCGUCCAAACGUUUAUUCGGAAUCACUGGGCUUACAGAGUUCGUAGGCGGUCUGGAAAGUUGGGUGUGAAAUCCCUCGGCUCAACCGAGGAACUGCGCUUGAAACUACCAGACUCGAGGGAGAUAGAGGAAAGCGGAACUGAUGGUGGAGCGGUGAAAUGCGUUGAUAUCAUCAGGAACACCGGUGGCGAAGGCGGCUUCUGGGUCUUACCUGACGCUGAGGAACGAAAGCCAGGGGAGCGAACGGG
rnacentral:rRNA from 1 species